rnacentral:rRNA from 1 species
GAAUAUUGCAAAAUGGGCGAAAGCCCGAUGCAGCAACGCCGCGUGGGCGAUGAAGGCCUUCGGGUCGUAAAGCCCUUUUUGAGGGGAUGAGGAAGGACAGUACCCUCAGAAUAAGCCUCGGCUAACUACGUGCCAGCAGCCGCGGUAAAACGUAGGAGGCGAGCGUUAUCCGGAUUUACUGGGCGUAAAGCGCGUGCAGGCGGAUUGGAGAGUUGGAUGUGAAAGCUCCCGGCUUAACUGGGAGAGGUCGUUCAAUACUUCCAGUCUUGAGUGCAGUAGAGGGAAGUGGAAUUCCG